GAAAUGCGAUAAGUAAUGUGAAUUGCAGAAUUCAGUGAAUCAUCGAAUCUUUGAACGCACAUUGCGCCCGCCAGUAUUCUGGCGGGCAUGCCUGUCCGAGCGUCAUUUCAACCAUCAAGCCCCCGGGCUUGUGUUGGGGACCUGCGGCUGCCCGCAGGCCCUGAAAACCAGUGGCGGGCUCGCUGUCACACCGAGCGUAGUUGCAAUCACCUCGCUCAGGGCGUGCUGCGGGUUCCGGCCGUUAAACAGCCUUACAAAACCCAAGGUUGACCUCGGAUCAGGUAGGAAGACCCGCUGAACUUAAGC
rnacentral:misc_RNA from 1 species